rnacentral:rRNA from 1 species
UACGUAGGGGGCAAGCGUUUGUCCGGAGUUACUGGGCGUAAAGCGCACGCAGGCGGUCUCUUAAGUUUGGAGUGACAGUUGGUGGCUUAACUGCCAAAGUGCUUCGAAAACUGAGAGACUUGAGGGCUUCAGAGGGACACGGAAUUCCGGGUGGAGUGGUGAAAUGCGUAGAGAUCCGGAGGAACACCAAAGGCGAAGGCAGUGUCCUGGGGAGUACCUGACGCUCAGGUGCGAAAGCCAGGGGAGCGAACGGG